AGUCUCCCCUGUAUUUGCACUGCGUCGCACAAGUACAAGAUAUACAAUUCAAGAUACAACCACCACGUAUGAACAUCUACAUAUCCAUACACCAUUCACAAUAACAUUUAAUUCAUCACAAUUAUCCGUAAAUUCACAUCUAUCAGUUUAAAAUAUUUUCUACUCGGAAACUCAUUUUGAAACACUAAGUCAUGAAAACCAAGAAAAACCUUUUGAAACUGUUUCCCACACGGAAACCUUUUUCUUUUAAAACUCGCUACCACAAGGGGUAGAAAACCACCUUCAUUUCGCAAGAAUCCAUAAAUCCCUUUUUACAUUCAUAAAAUCCCAAUUAUUCAAUUAACAUAAAAUACUGAACCAUAAAUGCUGUCUAAGUUAUUUAAUUUGAAUAAGUAAGGAUAGAAACUAAACCGAAUGUCACCGGGCCGACAACUCUAUCGAUCGCUACAUACCCGCCUCACGCACCGUCCCGACUCGGACCAGCAAUGUCACCUGAAAGGGGGGGGUGGGGGGUGGGGGGUGAGAACUUGUACACAUGUCUCCCCUCCCAGUGGGUACCGCACGCCGGCGAAGGCGAUGAGUACUCACUGGCAGAAAGAGAUCAUCAAAGUUAUAAAUAGAUAUCAUAAAUACAAUAGCUAUAAUGCUGGAAGGAAAGGGAACAGUAAUAGAACAUGUAACUACCGCUACUGUAAAAUAGAACAGAAUGGAUAUAUGGAUAUCAUAACUAUAGUAGCAAUGAUGCAUGGAUAAGCAACAGUACAUAGGAAUAUAACUAGCCGCUACUGUAAUACAGAACAAGUGUACGUAUGCAUCAGCCGGAUGAUCAGUCCCAAAGAAUACCCAAUCAGAAACCUGGCAUGACGGUCCGCAGACCUAAAGCCUGUGCCACUGCCACUCUACCUGUAUAUAUAACCCAGUACUGACCGCUGGGCUCACAGGCUGCAUAUAACCCAAUACUAGCCGCCGGGCUCAUGGGUUGGAUGUACAAUCGCUUUUCCGAAAAAGAACACCCUAUUGCGGUGGCCAAACUGCUGGUGCACGUGAAAUGCGAACGAGUCUCGGGCGAUCAAUGCUGAUAUGCUCAAUAGCCAACUGUCGGCAACUAGUCGACAAUCACCGCGCCUCAGGGCACAUUGACCAAUAGGUCACCGAACUGUAAUGAACACAAGUACCGACCACUCAGGUCAACUAGGAUAGAACAACUCAAUAUCCUUUCGAAGAUAUGCAAGUAUCGACCACUCAAUGUCAACAAACAUCUAUAUACACAAGAACCGACCAAUGGAUCACAAGGAUGUCACAUCAUACAUCGGUAUAAUCCAGAACUAACCGUCAGCCACUAGUCGACAAUCCUACCCUUCAGGGUAUACCGACCGUAUAGGUCAUCGAAUAGUCCACUCGACUAAGUAGGUCAUGAUAACAAUGCAGUAAGCCGAUCGAAUAGGUCACAGAUACGAGAUAAAAGCACCGACCAACUAGGUCAUCGAUCUUACAUGAAAUCAUACAACUGCUCUACUCCUACUCAUGAUGAUAGACAUGAAAACAAACAAGUAGAGCGAAACAGGAAUAACAGGGAUGCUAGGCUCAACACUAUAUAUGCAAGGUAAUAACAAGAGAACAGGGUAAGAAGAUGUCACUGAGCGUGCACCACUGUACCAAUUUCGGGUCAAAGUACCCACCUGUACGAAUGUAGUGCCUGUCUCUCGACUGUGGAAGAACGUCAACCGGACCUACGGAGGGUCCAACGGGUUAGAAUUCAACCCACACAAAUGAAACACUAACUCACAGUCUCACCUGUAAAUCCACGAGAAUCGGUUUUCCAAACCAAUUACCGUAACACGCCGUAAGUCUCGAUAAUCGCACCGGGACUCCGCUAGGACCCACGAACUGUCCCGGAACGCACCGACUCGUGCUACGAGUCACCCGCUGCCACUAAACAUAAAUAUUCGUGUGACAUGGCAUCAAACACACCGCCUCACAUCGAAACGAUUAUCGUCGAAUAAUCGUUCCGAUCCGGGUUCCCGGAAGUGUCCAAUUCGACACCGAAACCCACCGUCGCUUACCCGUCAUUUCCGAACACUCGAAACAAUGCGGGUUACCAGCCAACGAGGCUCAGCGAUAACAUGAUCUACCGUGAGGCACCGUCGGAAGAAUUCCGAAUCAAAAACGCGUUCCGUCGGCGGAUUUCGCCGAAAAACACAUUGGAAAUAAACAUUCGAUUUCCAGAAAAGCCUGGGGCCAUGGACAACUAGUCCAGAGGUCACCCGAUGUCCGCACAUGCUGUCAACAGCACCCACGCAGUGUAAAAUUGCAUAAAAGCCCCUGUGACUACAUAAAAUCACAUCAUUUUAUGUGAUUUUUGGGAUUUUAUGGCCCGACAGCGCAAACCGAAGACCUUCCAGUCUGGGCGAGACACCUGCUGAUAGGUCUCGAUGUGCUAGAGGCCGUGCUCACACUUCGGAGCACGGUCGGCCACUGUGGAGAGCGCGGGAGCGAUGUGAAAUUUAGCGAACCCUGAUCGCAGAACAUAAAACUCUUCUAAUUCACUUAUCCGGGGCUUGUUGACCUUAAAUGAGGUGAGCACUGUGAUCUGACCAACGAUCACCGUGCCACCUCUGAAGGCAUCGGAACAGCCCCAGGUUGUCGGAAUAGUGAUCCCAAUAGGAAACAGUGCGCAAACUGCGUAAUAAAGCUUACUGGGCCGAGGGAAGCUAGGGUACGGCUGGCGACGGCGGGCGCACCGGUGGCAGGAGGGUUCGGGCGAUGUAGGGAGGCCAGGGUGCGCAUCGGCUGGUGGCGGGGGGAGGUUGAGGCGGCGGGCAUUGAUGCCCUAGCCGCAGCCACGCAUGAAGGGCACGGCUCAUUUCCGGCCAGGAGGGGCUCUGACGGCGGGAGUGUUAGAAAAUUGCGUAUGGUAAAAACACAGCGGAAAGAAAUAAAACAAAUUUGAUUUUGAAAAACUCUCGAGAUCCAAUCUCAAAAACCACGCAAUUAGGAUCCCUCAUGUUCUCUAAAAUUAAAAGAGCAUAGCAAGAUUGAAUCUUUACCUUUUUCAUGGAUAGAUCUUCACCUCUACUUGAUGAUCGUGGAAUUGGGUUCUCUUAAAGCCGCACACGUGUCCGGCUUCUAUAGGUAUCCACACGAGGUCCUUGAUUUGAUCGAUGUCCUCACAGGGGUGCUAGCUCCCUUGCAAAAGGACGUUUUUCUUGCUAGAAUAUGGAAGAGAGAAGAGAGGAAAGAUGGUGGCUAGGGUUUUCUAAAAACUCCCAUAUAUUAUAUAGAGGAAUAUAAUCCUCUAUUUAAUAAUAUAAUAAUCAUUACGGAUAAGUACAAAUCUAGAUUUAAAUUUAUCCUUUCUUUAAUUGGUUAGAUCGAUCAAAUCCUAAUUUGAUUCGAUUUGAACUUUAUCUUAAUUUGAUCAUAUCAAAUUAAUAAUGCAACAUUUUUACAUAAGUCCUCUUAUAUUUUACUAACUAUUAGUAAGUCCUCUCUUGUAACAUUUACACUUUAAUACCACUAAUUUGUAAUAAUUACAAAUUAGUCCAAUUAUCAACAUAUUGACAAUUAGGUCCUCCAGCGAUUCAAUAAUCGUGAUCUAGCUAUCCGAUCAAUCACAACCUCUUAUGUGUGUGACCCCAUAGGUUCUAUUCUAUCUGGUAGUGAGAUAUAUUUUGAUCACUAUCAAUAAUAUCACUGAAACUCCUUUCAGUGGAUCGGAACAAUUCCAAUUUAUCCUAAUGAGAAUUAUCGAUCAUCUAGAUAAUUCUCAUGAGUCUCACAAUCCACCAGUGACGCUUAGCAGCAUGUAGUAGCAUUCCGGUAGAAUAGAAUACUGAACCUCUUGGUGAAGUUACCGUGUGACACAAUCCUUCUAUCAUGAGUCCUGACUAGACGGAGGUUAUAGAAUAACUUGUCAAACCCCAUCGUCUGUCAUAUGUUAAAUUUUUUCGACUCGAGUUUCUAAUAUCGGAAACUCUUUUCCGCUAUUAACUCUGCCCUGGCUAUGGUCUUCUAAACUCGGUGUAAGGACUGAGAUUUUAGCAGUGUAGCUAAACUCUCUGUUGAGGAUGUUUUUGUGUGUAAUUUAAUUAUAUAAUCACUCGUCAAGUUUCGGGAGAAAACGAGCUAGAACGGAGAAGUUACGCGAUAAAUAUUAAUCACUUAAGUGAAUAGUAACUUCGAUUUUUCGAAGAAGCUGCGGAGUAGAGUUGGCUUUCGGCGUGUAUCGAACUCCGUUCAUAGCGAUCCAAUAGCUCGUUUCGACCGGUUCAGCUAUUCUGGAACCAAUGACACCGUCAUAUUUUGGUUUUGAUGCACGAUUUUUGAGAAAAAGGAGUUUUAUUGAAAAGCGGGUUUUCACUCUUUCCUAUAAUUGCAUUAUGGAACCCCUCGUUAUCUGUGUAUGUGACCUAGAGUUGAGUGAAGGAUGUUUCGGGUACCUACUAGUGGUAGGGAAGUCUAAUUCGAAUUCAAAUUUAAGGUUUAUUGGGUUUACACAAUUGUGCUAGUGUGGUGUUUGGAUUUUUGGAGAAGAGGAUGGGUUUUGUAGCAAAUCGGCGACCAAACUUGAUGAGACGAAAUUGUAGUUUCGAUGCUCCCAUCGUGCUGAACACGAUGAUGCGGUUGAAUCGAAAAUCCGACGGACGGAUCAUCGGAUAAUGCUUGAUGAUCGGGAAGGGUUCGAUUGUGGCCAAUGGGAAACUUCGCAAAAGUCUUGAUAUUUUAUGUACCGAAUUGCGCGGGUUUGGACAUGGGGUACGUUCGCGCGUAAUACACGCACUGUGAAGGACUGGGCAGUAAAUUCUCAGCUUCGGAGGACUUUUUCGCAAAAAUACACUUAUAUAUAUAUGUUAGUGUUAGGUUUUCAAGAAUGAAACCCUAACCCUAGCCCAUGAGCCCCCUCAUCUGACCUCCAGCCGCAGCCAGCACACCCUUGUCCCAGCCGUGCGCGCGGCCCGGCCGCCGCCGCGCGCCGCCGGCCACCGGAAUUGGACCUUUUUGCUUUCCCUACCAUCAUCUCCACUAUUCUCCAUCUUCCCAUCCCGUGGACCACCCUGGUGAUCUUGCACCCUUGCGCUCUGUUCCGGUGACUCCCCGGACCACCGACGACCUUCCCCGGUUGGCCAUUGCCGUCGCCGCCUGGGCGACCCGCGCUAGCUGAGGCCUGCUCUGGCCGAGCCAAAGCUUGCUUGCAGGCCGAGUACGCCAGCCGCCUUUGGCCAGCCGCACCGCCACCCUAGGCCUCUGGCGACCCUCCGCCGCCGGCGCCGCCAUCCCUACGGGCCCCUGGCCGCUGCUCUUGCUCCCUGCAGCCUCCCAGCGCAAUCUAGGCCCGAGCCCGAGCUAGCUCGCCAUCUGCGCAUUGCCGCCACAUUGCGCUGGCCGAGGCGUCUCCCUCCGACCUCCAAUGAACCUUCGUAGCCGCCCCGAGGCUUCCCUAGCCGUCGCUGUGGCCACCAUCGCUCCCUGUGCCCGAGUCGAGCCCAUGCGGGCUCGGGAUACUCAAGCGCCGCCGCGGCUGCCUCCCGCCAUCGGCCGGUGUGAGCGCCGGCCUCCCAUGGCCGGCCGCACCCGUCGGCCGCCGGAGACCCCGCCGCCGGAGGUCCCUGUUGGCCGGAAUGGGCCCGUGCUCCCUACGGGUUUGGUGUCUAGGGCAUCAUUGCCCGUCGCCGCCGCCGCCUUCCAGCGCCGGCCAGCGUGCGCCCUGGCCUCCCCACACUGGCCGGACCCUCCCCCUACUGNACCCUAUGCCUCCGGCUACCCUCCGUCGCCGGCUCCGCCAUCCCUGCGGGCACCUGGCCGCCGAUCUUGCUCCCUGCAGCCUCCCAGCGCAAGCUGGGCCCGAGCCCGAGCUAGUUCGCCAUCCGCGCGUUGCCGCCGCAUUGCGCUCGCCGAGGCGUCUCCCUCCGGCCUCCAAUGAACCUUCGUAUCCGUCCCGAGGCUCCCUUAGCCGUCGCUGUGGCCACCGCCGCUCCCUGUGCCCGAGUCGAGCCCAUGCGGGCUAGGGAUACUCCAGCGCCGCCGCGGCUGCCUCCCGCCGUCGGACGGCGUGAGCGCCGGUCUCCCCUGGCCGGCCGCACCCAUCUGCCGCCGGAGACCCCGCUGCCGGAGGUCCCUGUUGGCCGGAAUGGGCCCGUGCUCCCCACGGGUUUGGUGGCUAGGGCACCAUUGCCCGUCACCGCCGCCGCCUUCUAGCGCCGGCUAGCGUGCGCCCUAGCCUCCCUACACUGGCACCACCCUCCCCCUGCCGGAGCGCCUGCCGUCCGGCAGCCGCCGGCCACCCCGUGCCUUACCUAGCUCCGGUAAGCUGGUAUUGCUUUCCUGCAUAUUAUUUUGGGGUUCCGGUCACUAUUCUGGUGACCCGAGGCCACUCUAAGUCGUCCGAAGGUGAGCACGGUGAUCCUUAUUCAGUGUCGAUCAUUGUGGCCACCUUCAUUGGGGUCAACGAGCCCCUAGUUUGCGAGAUAAGUAUGUUUUUCAUGCUGCACGCACAGUUUGCUGAAGUUCGCGUCGCUCGUGCGCUUCCCACAGUGGUCAGAACUGUUUCAAAAGAUGAGCACGGCCUCCGGCACGCUGAAACCUAUCAGCAGUUGUCUCGGCUUGGCUGAAUGGCCCCUGGGUUACACUGUCGGACCAUAAAAGCUUAGAAAUUACAUAAAAUAAUGAAAUUUCUUACAAUCGGGAGGGCUUUUAUACUUUUUGGUCUGUCGCGGCUGCUAUUGGCAGCAUGUGUGAGUUGUGGGUGACCUCUGGACUGAUCGUCCAAGGCCCCAAGCCUUUGCGGGAAUCGAAAAGUGAUUUUCGGCGCGUUUCUCGGUGAAAUUCGUCGACGAAACGCGGGUUCGAUUCUGAAUUAUUCCGACGGUGUCUCGAUCCGAUACAAUCGAGGUAGGCACUCCAUGAAGUCGCACAAUCUCAUCAAGGUACACUUGUGCGAGCUUCACUUCGGUCCAAGUAGUAUGAAUAGGUAUGAAUUGCGCCGACUUCGUCAACCUAUCCACGAUCACCCAUAUAGCAUCAUGCCCGGCCUGAGAGCGAGGCAAUCUUGUCACUGUAGAACGCAGCGGAAUUAUUCGUUCGUACCUUUUUGCGGAAGCGAUUCGCGCUAGAACGCGAUGAGCCCGGAUCGUUUAGAUUGAUUCACGUGUCCUCGGAUCGUCCUUGAAAAUCUUCUAACUCUUCGAACUCGCGGUGGAUCGAACUACAAACGAGCGCGAUCGCAAAUCCACCGUGCAAGUCCCUCUAGAAUAAUAGGUCAAUGGAGGAUGUGGUUUCUCGCAAUUAUUUUCUUAUUCUUUCUCUGUUUCCGUUCUUUUCGUGUAUUACGUUAUGUGGGAUCGCCCGCAUAUUUAUAAGGGAUUCCAAGAUCCUUAUGGCGUUAGAGAUAAGGCCAAAUCGGUUAUUAAUUGUUAUCCUAAUAUGACUAGGAUUUAUCUCUAACCAACUUUCCAAUUUGAAAGCGAGAUUAAUCCUAAUCCAAUUAGAUAACAUAAUAUCCGUCGGAUCGAACCCGCUUAUGGGCGUACCCGAUUCGAUUUAACCGAAUGCCAACAUCUCCCACUCGCACAUGACGGGAUCGAUGCCAUCACAACCACUUCCUCAACAUCACACCACUAUUAAUUCUAUUCAUACAGGAAAAUGAACAGUGCGACCGCCGAGUCAACCUGCAUUUUGGGAGCUCUAUACUAGAAACCACAUAUGGCCAGUAUAGAGACAUCAACCCUCAAAAAGAAAUAUUAGACUCGUGAUGCCCUAGACAAUUGAAUUACAUCAGGUUCAGCAUCUCUAAUCCCUCGAAGAGCCAUGCUAACCUCUGUUGCGCACAUUAUGACACUAUACUCAUAAUUGUUUCGCUAUGCUGAAGUGACACAACCUGUCGAUAAUGAGUCAAAGUGUCUAAAUGUAAUUCAACUAGUCUUCCUUGAGCCCUCAUGCCACUAAGUUGAGAACUGAUUGUUUUCCCAGCAAUGCUCCAUAAAGCCGCAUCACUCAUAGCCGUAGGUAACAUGCCAAAGUAGCAACAUCAAUUCUUUCACUCAAUGACAUAGUCAAAAGUCACUAAGGGCAUCUCACAUAUAUAGGACAUUGCCUAAAAAUAAUGUCCAUAAGAACUCACACAAGAGGAAGCAGGGAUCCAUUCACUCAUCCUCUUUAUUUGGUCGCGUAGCACAUGUAGUAUGAAAUACAAUUACAAAUUAUUUAUUUGGAAAAGAUAUUUGCAUAAAAAUUUAGUACAACGGCAUUUGUUAUUAAACCGGUAUUGAUAGUAUGUCACAUGGCUGAAUCUGGCCCUCUCCUACACGGGCAAUCAUUCUUUUCGGCGCUGCUAGAGAGAGCGAGCGAAAUUGACGGCUGAUAGAAGCCCCUUGUUGGCACCAGAUGAGGUUCAUUAAUGGGACCCGCAUUCACGAAGUAGUCCACGAUUCGUAUGGCGGUUAUAUUCAAGAGCCGAUGUAGAGUUCACCGUUUGGCCGUGAGAUAGCGAGGCAAUGGAGAGCACUCCAGUGUAGACACUCCGGGAGUGAUGAGCUUAAGAUCCGCACUACUGACAUGUGAGAAAGACGACAUACGCAUUAUUGGGAUUUCUCUGUCAUGAGCAGGUCUUUNNNNNNNNNNNNNNNNNNNNNNNNNNNNNNNNNNNNNNNNNNNNNNNNNNNNNNNNNNNNNNNNNNNNNNNNNNNNNNNNNNNNNNNNNNNNNNNNNNNNUCCUAAAAGCCCAUACCGAUACAUGAAAUCGCAUCAUUUCAUGUGAUUUCUAUGCUUUUCUGGACCGUGCACGCAAACCAGAGGUCGAUUAAUCCGACCGUCGCACUCGCUGACAGGUUUCAGCAUGUCGGAGGUCGUGCUCACCUUUCGGAGCACUGCCGGCCACUGCGGUGCGCGCACGAGCGACGCGAAGUUCUGUUAAACUGCGCGCACAGCGCGAAGAUCGCGACUAACUCACUAACCAGGGCAUCUUUGCCGCUGUCGGAGGUGAGCACGAUGUUCAGCACAAGUUGUAGAUCAUCGUGCUCACUUCCCGAAGCUUAGGAGGCUUAUCGGAUCACCGAAAAGGUGACCGGAGCCUCGAAAAAUAGUGCUGGAACAUAAAAUACCCUUACCAGACCCGAUGAGAGCUAGGGUUGGUCGCCGGCGGCCGGGAGGCGUGCGGUCCGGCCGGAGGAGGGAGCACUCGGUCCGAGAGGUCCGGGGAGGGUGCUAGCCGGCGGCGGGCGGCAACCGGUGGCGCGGCGGAGGAGAUCGAGUCCACCCACUCCCUCUCGGGUUCAAACUUCCCGGCGGCGUGGCGGCGGUCGGAGAAGUUUGGGGCGGCGACGAACCGGUGGCGGAGGCCGAGGGGAAGACGGCGCGCACGGCCUAGGGCGGCGGCGGCGGCGCACGGAGGCAGUGCGGGUCCAAGCUUGGCCCGCACGCACUCCAGAUGGCCGCAGAGAGAUCCGGCGGUGGCCGGCGGCGCGCGGGGAUGGCGGCGACGGCGGCGGAGGGUCGCCGGGGGUUGAGGGAAGGCGGCGCGGUCGAUCUAGGGCUGCUUUACCUAGAGGGACCUGAGCUCAAGUCCGCUCGGUCUGGGUUGACCCGAGUUGGCCGUGGCUUGCUCGGACGGCGCCGGCGGCAUGCGCAGGCGGCAGGGACGGCCGGUGACGGCGCCGGAGGGGAAGCCUCGGCCAGAUAAUAUAGGCUCAGCCCAUGGGGUGGCUUCCCGAAGUCAAGAGGCCGCGGAGGGUGNAUCAUACUUUCUUUAGAUGCAUUGUCGAAUGCAAAUUUGAGGAAUUGGUCCAAGCCUUGCUGGUAAUCAGCACUUGACCUAUCUAUACAUUAAUUGAAUAGUACAAAUCAAUAUUACAUAAUUAUAUAUAUUAACAUAACUCGAUAAUUAUAACUUUAGAAAUAUUAGUAAAAUUACCUUGGCUUAAGAAUCCAAGUCUUAUCCAUACUCUCAACAAGUACUUUAGGUAUUCGAUCUUGAUAAUAGAAUUACCUGUAUAGACCUAAAAAGGUAAUACUUUAUGUUCAGUUACAUUGACUUCAUUAUUAAGAGCUAUAAUACUUAAAGUUCACAUGAAACUUAUGAAUUCUAAUAAUGCACUAAGUUCUUUAAAGUUUUCAUACAAUAUGUAAAAACAAAAUAUACUUAAAUAUAUAAUUAGGAUAACUCCAUUAUGCAAUAAAUAAAUAAAUAAAUUUAAAAAAUAACUAAGAGGGCUAGUUUCAAAUGGACUAUAAUUGAGAAGGAUCUAUUAAACCUAUCCAUUAAAACAAACUAUCAACCGUUAGAAUCCACCAAACAAGACUCAAAGAGUUCACAAUUUUUCACCUCACAUAGAAAAAGACUAAACUACUAAAUAACUCCUUAUGAUUUAGGUUGUGUCUUAAUAACCCCUUGUAUAAAAAGUUUCAUUCAUUUAAAUCAUAUACUUUACUAAUAUUAAUAAUUAUAUUUAAAUAUUUUGGACCGGUCAUUUGGAUUCGCUAAGCUGUUAAUAUUAGAAAUUUAGGUAUGUAUUCAGUACACAUGUUUUUUUAACAAAAUUUGAGAAAGGUGCAUAUUUAAAACACAAAUAGUGGCCUCAGGGCAUCUAAGUGAUACAAAUGAUACCACAGGGCCUCAAUGACCAAGAGCCCACAAGGCCAAGCUUGUUUUGAGAGAUCUAUUACCAACGAGGCCUUUGAGUGCAACGGGUUCGGGCUGGACAGAACCAUGACUCCUAAUGCCAAAAUUCACCUAUGGGCCUAUUAUCAAAUGGUCUAAAGUUAUGGAGCUACUGAAGGGCAAAAGAGUUAUUUAGAUAAAACAAUCAUCAACUUCUUUUUUUAUGUGCAGCUUGCUGAUGGCAGUCAAAUCACAAAUGGGAGGGAUAAACUAUCACAAUAUAGGAGGAUAUAUAUGAUCAAUAAACAAGUAUGCAAAAUUACUAUUUUGUAGGUACACAUGUGGCUGGCACGUGCGUGAGCGCGCGUGCACAAACACACGCACAGAUACAGAUAAUGGUGCAAAUUAUGAAACUAACCAGUUUAGAUAUGAAGUCCUUUUGAAACUGGGCUUCUGUUUCUAUCUCUUGAGCUACCUGCAAAUGUGAUUCUUGUCAAAAAUGUGCAUAAAAAAUUCUAACUUGACAAGAAUUCUUAACAACUGAAAGUAGACAAUUUAGAUAGUGCAUCAAAUAAACAUCGUAGAUUUAGAAACUAAUAAAAAAACAUACAAACAUACUACAAAGUGACAAAAAAAAAAAGUUAAGAUUAACUUUUCUGUAUAGCACAUAUCAUGUAGCAUUAAGACAACAUUUUCCUCACACUUGCAUGAUUGAUGAGAAGUUAGGUCCAUAGCGCUAUCUUAAGACAAUUGCCUACAGUUAAAUAAACAUUUUGACUAUAAUAUAGAUGAAGCAAUGUUAAAAUGAAGAAUAUAAGGAAAGAAGCUGUGCCGAAUUACUCUUUCUCAUUCCUUCCAUUAAUCUAUACACUGAAAAAUAAUUAAAACCAGGCUAUUCACAUAAAAAUAAUUUCACCCCUGCUGAGUACUGAUGCAUGCAGAAAGGGGUUAGUUGAUCGCUUGAAAGUUGGUACCGAGCCAGUAUAAAUGGAAAUUCCCAUGAACAACUAUUGAACUUAAUUAAGAUGUUCCUUUUUUGUGAAUUUUCAGGUAGAUUUGAACAAUUUAUUUCGCAUGAUAAUUUAUGUCCUUGAACAGCUACAAAAUCUCAAGGAAAAUAUAAUAAGUGAAAAAGGAUACACACACACACACACACACACACAAAGUUAAUUACAGCUGAAAACGCAUUAUGCCAUAUAUAAUUAAUAAGCUGUUCAAAGAGAUAAAUGCGUGCUUUAACUUCUAAUUAUUUGUAGAAGAAAUUAAUGUUGUGAAAGAAUGUUUAGUUAAUUUGUUAAAACUUAAAAAAUUCUGAAAUAAUUGAUUGAGUUGUUUUGAAAUGCUUUCUAUAUAUUCCUAGUUUAUUACUCUCGCUAGAUAUAUAACUUAUCAAACUUUUCAAGUUUCUGCCAGCAGAGGAAAUUAAAAUUGAGAUGAUACUCUCUAACUAAUGUUAUGGUUGUUCACACGCCGGAUGCAUGAUCGAUCUCUAGGUGUCUGGUUAGGUCGUGAAAUAUAUAUACAUAUAUCAGUAGUACUUUCUGUUCUAGCAAAGGCGCAAAGCUUAUCAAAUAUUGUAAAGCAAGAUGAUCAUGCAUGUAUGUAUGCAUUAAAAGAAGAGGAAAAAAAAACAAACCAGAAAAGGGAUAGAUUCUUCUCGAUGCGUCGGCGUCGAAAUGCUUCUCUCCCGCUCGCCUUCCUCCUCCUCCGCCGCCGGCGAUCGGCGAGUUCUUGCCUUCAAAAUAGAGGGGGGAAGCAGUAGGACCAGAGGGCGGCGCGGCCUCGACUUCUUGGAAGGAGGCGGUGGCGACGACGAGGCGAGAAAGGCACGGAUUUGGGAGAGGCGACGAGGCGAGGAAGGCACAGAUUUGUGCGGCGAAGGGUUUUGCGAGCUAGGGCGAAAAAGGUUUUGGAGGCGUCGAGGGAAAAAAAAGGGGGUAGGGCUUUUGUGCGAGCGCGCGAAGGGAAAAAGGGCCGCGCAGUGGGAAAAAAUCCCCGCUUAAUUCUUUUGCUGGCAUUUCUUUUGGUGGGAUUUUUGAGAGGACCUUAAUUAUAAUGAGAAAAAAUAAAGUAGAUCUGGUAUAUAUCUUAAUAAGGGCAAUUAGGUAAAAGUGCCCUUAAAGAAUAGCUUUUGCUGGCUAUUUUUGUAAAAGCCACUAAUAAAGUGCCAGCAAAGAUCAUAUAUGGUGUAGUGUACCGUCAGAUAUAUGGGUGUUCCAAUCAAGGUUUAAAGUGUACUGAAUAGCCGUAUAAGUGUUCCAUAUUUUGUUAUAAUGUGAAAAAUCGGGUCUCCUCUAUAAAAGUGCAUAUAUCACUACUAGAUAUAUGGGUGUGCCCAUUAGCACUAUAGAUGCACCUCGGUAAAGCCAUAGCUAGAGCCUUUAUUUAUAAGACUUGAUUAGCACUGUCAAUUAUAUUGGUAUUCCAACCAAGGCUUAAAGUGUACCGAAUAGCCAUAUUAGUAUUCCCUUUCUGGCUAUGAUGUGAAAAAUCAUGUCUUCACUAUAAAAGUGGUCAUAUCACUUUUCCCUAUAUAUAUGGGUGUGCUCUACACCACUAUAGAUACACCUCAGUAAAGCAAUAGCUAGAGCUUCUUUUAUAAGAUCUACUUAGCACCGUCAGAUAUAUGGAUGUUCCAAUCAAGGUUUAAAGUGUACUGAAUAGCCGUAUAAGUAUUCCAUUUUUGCUAUAAUGUGAAAAAUCGGGUCUCCCCUAUAAAAGUGCAUAUAUCACUACUAGAUAUAUGGGUGUGCCCAUUAGCACUAAAGAUGCACCUCGGUAAAGUCAUAGCUAAAGCCUUUAUUUAUAGGACUUGAUUAGCACUGUCAAAUAUAUCGGUGUUCCAACCAAGGCUUAAAGUGUACCGAAUAGCCAUAUUAGUGUUCCGUUUCUAGCUAUGAUGUGAAAAAUUAUGUCUUCACUAUAAAAGUGGUCAUAUCAUUUUUUCCUAGAUAUAUGGGUGUGCUCUACACUACUACAGAUGCACCUCAGUAAAGCAAUAGCUAGAGCUUUUUUCAUAAGACUUACUUAGCGCCAUCAGAUAUAUGGGUGUUCCAAUCAAGAUUUAAAGUGUACUGAAUAGCCGUAUAAGUGUUCCAUUUAUGACUAUAAUGUGAAAAAUCGGAUCUCCCCUAUAAAAGUGCAUAUAUCACUACUAGAUAUAUAGGUGUGCCCAUUAGCACUAUAGAUGCACCUCCGUAAAGUCAUAGCUAGAGAAUUUUUUUAUAAGACUUGAUUAGCACUGUCAAAUAUAUCGGUGUUCCAAUCAAGACUUAAAGUGUACCGAAUAGCCAUAUUAGUGUUCUGUUUCAGACUAUGAUGUGAAAAAUCAUGUCUUCACUAUAAAAGUGGUCAUAUUACUACUAGAUAUAUGGGUGUGCUCUACACCACUAUAGAUGCACCUCGGUAAAGCAAUAGCUAGAGAUUUUUUUUAUAAGACUUACUUAGCACCGUCAGAUAUAUGGGUGUUUCAACCAAUGCUUAAAGUGUACCGAAUAGCCGUAUUAGUGUUUCGUUUCUGGAUAUAAUGUGAAAAAUCAGGUCUUCACUAUAAAAGUGCACAUAUCACUACUAGAUAUAUGGGUGUGCCCUACAGCACUAUAGAUGUACCUCAGUUAAGCUAUAGCUGGAGCAUCUUUUUUAUAAGAUGGACUUAUCGGCGUCUGGUAUAUGGGUGUGCCCUUCAACACGAAAGAUGUACCGGGUCGUUAUAAAGCUGUCCUAUUCUAAACUAUAAUUGUAAAAGCAAAACCUAUCCUAUAAAAGUGGGCAUUUAGAGGAGGGAGAUAUAUGGGUGUGCUCUUCAACAUGACAGUUGUACCGGACCCCUCUAAAACUGUCCCGUUCUAAGCCAUAAUUGCAAAAGUAAAGGCCACCCUAUAGAAGUGGAAAUUUAGAGAAGGGAGGUGUAUGGGUAUGCACUUCAACAAGACAGAUGUACUGGGCUCCUCUACAACUGUCCCAUUCUUAGCCAUAAUUGAAAAAGUAAGUCAUAGUUGCAUAAGUGUACCGAAGUGCCGUAUAAGUGUUCUAUUGCUGGCUAUAAAGCUUCACAUGUACCGAACCGCCCUUUAACUAUUCCGUUGUUGGCUAUCACUAGUAGGUACAUAGAUUUGCCCUUUCACCACUGUAUAUGUAUUUUGGCAUACCUAUAUCUGUCAUUCAUUUUUAUAACGUAGAAGUAGGUUUUGAGUAAUGUAGAUAUUUCAACAAGACGUACAAUGGCAAAUCAUUUUCUAAUAUUCAAAUAGAAUACUUAUACUUAAUUAUAAUUAACUUUUCUUUUGUUUGGCAGGCGGCCUUAACGUUGGACUAGGGAAUCUUGCCCCUUUGUCAACGCUUGCGCAUUACAUCAAGUUGAAGAAGGUACAAAUUUGCAAGAGAAAAUAUGUCACCAAUUCAUUUAGAUAGUCGCAAUAAAUUGAAAGGUAUUUGGCAGCGAAAUAAAUAACUGCUAUGUAUACUAAAGGAAUACAUAUAUAUGGUUUCUUGCACAGGUAUACAGUUAGAUAGAACAAUCAAAUUUCAUUAAAACAGAGUCACUCAUAUUGGUAUAAGCUACUAGAACGUCUGAUCAUGGAGGUUAACACUUACUAUACUUCGACACCUCAAGAAUUGAGAGCAACACCUUUACAUCACAAGACGAAAUAUGUACAAGCAGUAUAUAAUGCAUAGCAUUUUAAAUAUAUAUAAAUAUACAUUGAGUAUAAUAAUAGAACACAAAUUCACCAAUAUAUACACACAUUACUCAUAUACUAAACAGAAAGCAAGAACAUUCAAUAUUGCUAGAUAUGAGGAAUAUAAACACGUCAUUACAUUAUUGUCAAUUUACAUGCAGUGCUACAAUAGCAACAAGAAAAAUACGAAAGAUUGUUAAAUCACUGUUUAUAAUUCGACACUCCCGAACAAGCAGGUACAACACAUAUCAAUUCUAAAUCUGUAAUAGUACAAUGAAUACAAUGGAUGCUGAUUUCAUGUGGGCGGUGCUCUUCCACCGUGCUGAAAUUGAUGUUCCUGCGAGAUUUCCUUUUCCUGCAACUGUUUAAAAGGUUAAUAGGAUCAAUUUAAAGCCAAGAAUACAAUACGCGUAUAUAGAUUGUAUCAAGACUUUGUCAAUACCUGUUGUAAAUGAGUCGAGUGUGGCAUGUGCGUCCAAGCGGCCGGAUUCUGAUUUGAAGAUUGAGGACUAAUAUCCACUCUAUGAGGAUACAUGAUAGGAUCUGAUGAUACAGAUAUAUUUUUGGGGCCCCACGUUGUCUGAUAUUAAAAGAAAGAAAAUUUAAACCAUAUUAUUUGUAUAUAGAUAAAAUUGUAUUAAAGAACCGUCCAUAAGAAAUGUAAUUUCUAUUACUGUUACGAUAAUGGCUGGGCCGGUGUGUACACCGAUCCCAUAAGGUAAGUCACUUGACGACAAAUUGUUAAUCUUAGGACUUUGUAGAUAAACCUGUUUUAAUAAACCAAUUGGUUUUGUAGAAUAAGAGAUCCAGAAUUUUAAAAACAAAUAGUCAAAUCAAACUAUAUCGAAUAUUAGAAAAAAAAUCUAGAUAUAGUAAUGCAUAAAAUAUUUACACUCUACUGGGAGGAGAUCGAGUGAGAUGAUGAGAGACAAUUAUAGAUGGAACAUUCACCAUUAUAUAUCAUGUCCCCACAAUGUUGUCCAACAUGUUAAAAUAUAUCAUGAAUAAUUAUCAAUGAUUGUCGUCUAUUGUAUAUUAGAAUCCAACAAAAAAAUUGAUUGAGGUAGAUCAAGAUAUACCUGUUGCUUAUUGCCUUUCAUCUUCAACCGUCGUACAACUUUAUCGGUCAUUGACUCUUUUCUUUUGCUUGGCGGGCGGCCUUUACUGCGAACUGGUAGUAGGCUUAGAACUCUCCGGUCAUUACUUCUAUCAUCUGACGCACCAUUCGAAGGUGUUGCCGUAAUCGGCGAACAUUCAAUAUCAUUGCUCCCCUUGGAUAAUGAAGUGUAUUCCAAUUUAGUCUUCAAAUUUCCCAACGUACGUAAUGCAACUUCACAUUUCUCAUCGGACUCAGCAGCUAUGUCUGCAAUGUCAUACAUAUUACUACAUACUACUUCGUAUCGAUAAAUUUCAGCGGUGCUCCCUAAGUUCUUAUGCCAUGUCUUCACGCGGGUAUACCUCCGUCUGACGUCCUUCCUCCAUCGUGUUAAUAUGUAAGAAUUUGGGACAAUCAUCAACUUCCUAUAAACUAGGACGGCAAUUGAAUGUCGACAUAAAGUACCUUUAUACUCAAAUAGACGGCAAAUACAACUUACUAGAGAGCCACCUUCAUCAAAAUAUACUGUGAAAGCUGUAUCUUUACCUCCGACGCCAUACUCAUUAACUUGAUAAGAAUACGCACUGCCCUUCAAAGACAGUAAGGAUGUCUCGCAAUACAUUAAUUCCUUAAGCUCUGCCUGAAAUUCUCUAAAUUUCGCAAUCGUGUACACAUCUUGAAAUUGCUUCUCAAAUGCAUAACGGCUAAUACACGGUAUGACUGACCUGAAUGAUUUGUAGUCUAAUUCUGCUUCUUUUUCAGCUUUAUUCUUUAUAGCGCUUUCAUACUGCUGAACAAAUUAUUUUAAUGAAGUUUUCGAGUUCACAUACCAUCAAAAAAUGCAUUCAUACUUUCGCUUCGCUGUGUUGUGGACAUUCCAGCCCAAAAUGUAUCCUUCAUAUAAACUGGUAUCUACUUACAUCUUUCCUCGUACAAGCCUGACAACCAUUCAUUAUUUUGAUGUCCGUAACAAACUAUCAUUCUCUUCCAUUUUUUCUCAAAUUCAAUUUAUGUCAGUGAUUCAUAAAUAGCAUCCAUCAUAAUGCUCUUAAUCGAAUGAUAUUCGCCAUAGCUUCUUAGCUUCUCUGGUAUCUUCUUUGUACUGUGCCAUAAGCACCAUCGAUGCCGAGUAUCAGGAAAGACACGUGCGAUAGCAUUUUGCAUUGCUUUAUCUUGAUCUGUGAUUAUUGCUUUGGGGGCACGCUCGGACAUGCAUGACAACCAAUCCCGAAAGAGCCAUACAAACGAUUCUGUAUCUCAACAAGAUCGACUGUCCAUGAUGGUUAACACUAACGAAAGGGGCAAAUGGCAUAUCGUACUUAUUUGUUAGAUAUGUUGAGUUGAAAGUAAUUACAUCUCCGAAACAUUCAUACGCCGCUCUACUCCGAGCAUCUGCCCAAAAGACAUUGCGAAGCCAAGAAUCAUCGUCUAGAUCUAUGGCAUAAAAAAAGUUUUCAUUUCUCUCUUACAUUUCUCUAAAAUAAUUAUAAACUACCUCGCCGUCACCUUCACCAAGUCGUAGCCGACGGACUUUUUCAAUAUAAUUACGAGCAUCAUUCUCUUCAAAUGUUAAGUUUUCAUACCCACCAGCUUCAACAGUAAUAGAAUUAAAAUUUUUGUUCAAUCUGAUUCCAGCACGAUCAUUAAGAUCAAGUUGCCUCUUGAUGCUCGGAUCUAUAACUCGAUUGCAGGGAAAAAAUCGAGACUUAUAAGGACUUAGGAUGUGAUUAUGCUCAAGUACAAUUUUACUUAUUACACAAGAUGAAUCCGCAUUUAUUACCAUAUUUAUCCUCGCAAGACAGCUCGUCUUCACCACUGAUGGACAAGGACGAAGAUUCGUUACGGUCCGAUGCAUUUUUCCAUGAUGAGAGCAUGCGAUUAUUACAUAUGUAGACUUGCCAUCAGUCAUUUUAGUUGUCCUCUUUACAACUCCAAAUCUUAAUUCUUGUGCGUAAUGUUUAUAGAAAUUAAAAACGGCUUCAAAAUUGAUAAAAGACAUUUCAAUUUCUGGUGCCGAAUAUUUACGUCUCUGACCUCACUGUUUCUUUCUUCAUCCAUCUAAAAAAUGUUCAAUUCAAAUAAUCAGUCAACCCAGAAAUUUAACAAAAUUGCUCACCUGUAAGACAUCACAUGCAGUCAAAAUACACAAUUGGAAUAGUGGUGACCGGGCAAACUAUUUAUCAAAAUCAAUACAUCUAAAUUAAUAAUGUAUACACCACAUUCUACUAUGCCCUAAAAAUGAAUCAUUAUGGCAUAACAAAAUAAUACAAGUAUUUUAUUAUAAGCACAUCCUAAACGUUUUAGUUAGUGCAUGACAAAUGUGAAGACAAAGAACUCCAAUGAGAUAGUCGCAACUUAUCAGUCUUAUUCUUAAGACUGAUAAGAUAAAGCUCACUUGAAUUACAAGCCAUUCACACAUCAUAUAAAAGAGACAUAAGUUUUUGCAGCUCAAGGACAAGCAUCAUAUACUGGAAGUAAUUGGACAGUGUGGACCAGAAGUAAGGAAUCACAGCUAGUAAAUUGAGCACACUUGGACAGCAAUUAUGCGUAAGAGACGAAUAGUUGGACUUUCAUGUUAUAUAGAAUAUUACUGAUCAACCUAUCUGAACUGGCUAGUGAAUUGGCCUCGCUAGUUCCAAGAUAAUAAUAUUUCAGCAUUAAUACAGGAAGGGCAAUAAAUUUGCAAAAUCAACUUUGAGAAAUCACUUAUAUACUUUAUUUACGAUGCAUCUAAACAAAUGUAAGUAAAACAAUGGUGACAAAGGCCAAGUUCAUUAAAUGUACUUCAGUAAUAAACUAGUUAGUUGUCAUUGUCAUUAGGACUGAAACUCUUAAAUUAAAAACUUUUUUCAACCUAUGAGUAAACUGCACCACGGGAUCUGGACCUUUUAGCAUAGUUUUACUUUGGUCACGAACCUUUCAAUUGUUAAAUUGGAACUCUAGCAUUUGUGUUGUGUCCCAAUUUUACCUUUUUCACUUAAAUUCCUCCAUCUUCUCACGUUCAUCAUUACUUAUACACUCAACGGUAUAACAAUAUAAAAAAAGAAACCAGUUUCAUUAAACAUUAAAGAUCACUAAUUCUCUUCGAUCAAAUGCUUACAACAUCACAAUCAACUAAUCCGUAAUAAUUACAACACGAACCCAAGUCACACACAUCCACUGAGAAAUAGAGAGGGGAGAUUUACCAAAUGCAAGAUGCUAAUCAAGGCGCCAUCCGCAUCCGGCCACUUGGACACCAAAUCAAACAUGAAGUUUCCCUCGCCAACGACAACUCUGCAAGAAGCAUCGCUCUGAAGCCCACCCAAUCUCAAACCAGCACUUCCCCUCUCAGAAACUACGAAUCAAAGACGAAGUUCCCCUUACUCUCGCUCUCACUUUCUCUCGCGGAGGUCGCCUCUGUCUCGCUCAAGCUCUACUCUCUCUCGCUCUAUCGCUCGCAGGCCUCUCUCUCUCUCUAGCUCGCAGGCGCCAGAAAAUAGGAGUAAGGCGCCCCUCUCUCGCUCGAGAUCUUCUCUCUCUCGCUAUAUCGCUCAACCUUCUCUCCCUCUAACCCGCAGGCACUGGAAAAGAUGAAAGAGAUCAAAAAAGGGGGGAGGGGAAGGGUGAGGAGGAAGAAAAUGGGAGUGAGAAUAACACAUUUCUUUUUUUUCAAAAGCUAACUAAUAUCAGCCAUCGGAUAGGAUAGUUGUAGGAUGUACAACCCAAGAUGGGUUGUACCAGUAGCACUACUCUUUGCACUUAUGCAGAUAUCAAGGCCAAACGGGCCCGAUAACCCGAUCACGAGCGAGGAAAACCCCCCCACGCGCGCUCUCUCUCUCUCUCUCUCUCUCUCUCUCGCACGAACACCUAUCCUCUUUUAUUGCUUCAUCCUCCCAGGUAAUCUUCUCGAUCUCCUUCCCUCCAUUCGCCAUUUUUGCAUACAUAUUUACUCACUUCUUCUCUCCCGGUAAAACCUAUUAUUUUCGAACUGAAGUUAGAUCCGAUUUGGAGGUUUUUUUUUUCCUGUUUUCGUCAAUUUAAGGAGUGUUUAUGCAAACUUCGUCAGAUCUGAAGCCAUGUCUUGUUUUGUUUAAUUGCAAUCUGUCACGCCCCGGGGUCCCUUUUAGUUUAAAACAUAGCGGAAAAGCGUCUGAAUUUUUUUUUUUUUUUGAAAACCUGACCCCAGAGUAUGUCAGAUCCGCCACAAAUACAGGGAAUCCACUGUGCACACGGACAGAGUCUCCCCUGUAUUUGCACGGCGUCGCACAAGUACAAGAAGCAAUCCAGGUACAACCACAACCAAAUGAACAUACAAGUAACCAACAAUUAUAUANCUCCGAAUAAGGGAAGAAUAGGACUACGGUUCCACUCGGACAACAAUGAGGGAAAAACGUACCAACCCAAAAUCUAUGGACCAAAACUCACCGGGAUUGACUAUUCCUAUAACCGCGAACAAAAACAGUCCUGCUGUAAGGAUUAUCUGAUCCCAAAUAUUACCAAAUCUGAGGUAAUACUUCAUCACUCAAAAACUCUAGGUACUCUCAACCUUGGUCCGCGUAACAGUAAUCGACUUGACUACGUCGCAGGUUCAUGUAGAAAGCCACGAGACAACCACUUUAAUCUGGAGUCUAUUUACGUAGACUGAAACGAAAAACUCCGACUAUCCAACAACGUCAACCUGCUCACCAUGAGCGAAUACGUAACGUUGUUCUAAAAUCCGAGUCGAGAUCACUUACAUCGGAGACCACAGUUUCCACCAGUAACUACACAAACUGCCAAAACUUCCAAUAACGGAAGGUCACCUGCGACAAUCUAUAGCCCUAGGUUCAAGACCUCACUUUACAUCCGACCAAACGAUCCAACUGACAAUACCAAAUAAGCUAGACAAUUUUGUCUCCUCAAACUUAAUCCGGUACCAACAGACCACCAAAUGCUCUUGCAAGUCCAUCACUUGAUGCACAGGUCGCCAAUCGCACCAUACGAUACCAACCGUCGGUGAUACCCAACACCUGUCUCCACAAGACCCUGUCGCUGUCGUCCUACUAUGGACCCUAGCGAUCGAUGUUCCGAGCAACACCAAAUGCCUGUCUCAUUGAGACCUAGGCAUACCUGUCAUCAAAUAACCGGACAAGCAUGCUAACCCAAGGUUUGCACGAUAAACCAAGACUACUAACCAAACAAACCUUUUAGUUGUGGAAGGCAUAACUAAAGAGCUACGAACACCCAAACUCAAACUAGAGUCAAAACCCCUUUUUCAGUGAUGAUAAGUCAACUGUGCAAAACCGACCAAGGAGUAACCCAAGGCUCGCUACGUGGUCAGAAAAGAUCGACACUCAAGCUUUCCCACAAGACACUCUAGAGAACACAUCGACCCAAUCCAUAAGUCCAAACAGGAAGAUAGUAUUUCGUCCCUCUUUCGACAGUAUAUUGUCUGCAGCCAAUAUACUUAUCAAAAGAAAAGCGAAAUAUCCGAAGAUCCACUACCAACAACAAGUUGGAAGUGUGACACGUCGAAGUAUCAAGCCACCUGAUACCUCUUCACAGAACCACGAUUUCACAACCCUUACUAUCGAAACAUCAACUUUACAAGUCGACAUUCAAAAUCAGAACGACCCUGAACCGACUCACAGGGAGUCCUAUAAUUUUCAACAUCCGAAAGAUGUUUGCGACACUAAGCCGCGAACUGUACCAACUGAAGCUUAAGGAAACGGUUUCUCUAACUGGUUUUCGCACCACAACCGAGCUAUAAUCAAAGCUCCGAGAAUUCCGACAAUACCUUGGAGUAACUCGAGUCAAGACGGAUCCUACCAAACCAUCCACUAUCCCCUGACACCAAUUUAGGUGUUUGAACAAUCGCAUGCAAUGUAUGCAUCACAGAGACUAAAAUCGUGUCAAUCCGACUCUGGUACAUGUCAAUUUGACGAAUGAACGAGGCAAAGGUCAAUAGAUCAAAACCGCUUAUUUCAAUCAGCAAUCAAGGAGGAGAGGUAGGCAUCACAACCUUACCCAAAGAUCUGCGGAAGCAACACUAACAAUGCAGUCGUCUAAAUGACCGCUAACCAAACCCUGGGCUACGCAACUGAUCACAGUGCCGUCUCCGUAGAGACACUCGCAACAGCUCUCGUGUCCUAAGUAGAGAGAGUGGCCUGGGCGUCGGCAGUUAUGACACUCGCCUAGGCCCGAAAAUCUCACUUGGCCCUUCAAGGCCUCACCUGACAGGAGUGGCAACACCUGGGGAAUGUCGCCCCACCACUCGAUGUCCGAAUAAGUAGCACCGCUACUACCCCCGACUUAGACACCAGCUUAUGCGAACCUUAACACAUAUAGAAACACCAUGCACUUCGAGUUUACCAAACUCGAAUGCACACCGGGACACAAGCCCAAACCCCGCACUCACGUGCCUAUACACCGUAGUCUUCCUAUUGGUCAACCUAACCAAUGGUCUCUCGACUGUGAAGACGGUGCAACCGAACCUACGAAAGGUCCAACGGGUCAAGAUCUAACCCACUGACAUGUAACGCUAACUCACAAUCCCUACUCACCAAAACCACGAGAACCGGUUUCCCAAAACCGAUUACCGAACAAACUGGAUGUCCCGAAAACCGCACCGUAACUGCCCCGUCGCUCACCCGUCGUUUCCAAACCCUCGAAACGACACGGGUGACCAGCCAACAAGGCUCAGCGAUGCUACAAUCAACCACAAGGUACCGUCGGAUGAAAUCCGAAUCGAAAAUGCGUUCUAUCGGCGGAUUUCGCCGAAAAACGCUUCGAAAACCACUUUUCGAUUUCCGCAAGAGCUUGGGGCCUUGGACGAUCAGUCCAGAGGUUAUCCUCAGCCCAAACGUGCUGCCAACAGCAUCUAUAUCGAAGCAAAAGUCCUAAAAGCCCAUACCGAUACAUGAAAUCGCAUCAUUUCAUGUGAUUUCUAGGCUUUUCUGGACUGUGCACGCAAACCAGAGGUCGAUUAAUCCGACCGUCGCACUCGCUGACAGGUUUCAGCAUGUCGGAGGCCGUGCUCACCUUUCGGAGCAUUGCCGGCCACUGCGGUGCGCGCACGAGUGACGCGAAGUUCUGUUAAACUGCGCGCACAACGCGAAGAUCGCGACUAACUCACUAACCAGAGCAUCUUUGCUGCUGUCGGAGGUGAGCACGAUGUUCAGCACGAGUUGUAGAUCAUCGUGCUCACUUCCCGAAGCUUAGGAGGCUUAUCGGAUCACCGGAAAGGUGACCGGAACCUCGAAAAAUAGUGCUGGAACAUAAAAUACCCUUACCAGACCCGAGUAGAGCUAGGGUUGGUCGCCGGCGGCCGGGAGGCGGGCGGUCCGGCCGGAGGAGGGAGCACUCGGUCCGAGAGGUCCGGGGAGGGUGCUGGCCGGCGGCGGGCGGCAACCGGUGGCGCGGCGGCGGAGAUCGAGUCCACCCACUCCCUCUCGGGUUCAAACUUCCCGGCGGUGUGGCGGCGGCCGGAGAAGGUUGGGGCGGCGACGAACCGGUGGCGGAGGCCGAGGGGAAGACGGCGCGCACGGCCUAGGGUGGCGGCGGCGCACGGAGGCAGUGCGGGUCCAAGCUUGGCCCGCACGCGCUCCAGAUGGCCGCANNNNNNNNNNNNNNNNNNNNNNNNNAAGAGAUCGGCGUGGCCGGCGCGCGUGGCGGAUAGCUGUCUCGCGCGGAGGGUUGCCCGGGGGAUUGAGGGAAGGCGCGCGGCGAUCUAGGCUGGAUGCUUUACCUAGCGCGCUUGAGCUCAGUCGUCGGUUGCGGUUGAAACCCGGGGGAAGUAUGCCGUGGCUUCAUCGGACGUCACCGGCGGCGUGCGCGCGGCCGGGGCACGGCGAGAUGACGGGCGCCGGAGGGGAAGCCUCGGCCAGAUAUAUAGGCUCAGCCAUGGGAUUAGGCUCCCGAAGUCGCAAGACGGCGCGGAGGGCUUGGAGAAGGUCGGAUGGAAUGAAUGAUGGAGAGGAGUGGAGCUUUUCGGCGGGCCGGGGUGCUCGCUGCGGCAGGGUACCGCCGGCAUGCCAGGGCAUAGAGGUUGCUGCAUGACGGUUAGGGUUAACUAGGGAGUCGGUUGCAAGUCGGCUAGAUCUGGUUUAAUACGCUAAGAAAUCUAGUGCCAACAUUAUAUACAACCUGCAACUUUGCAGAGAAGUCCCAAAGAUAAUGUUUAUUAUCUGAGUCUCGACAGUGCAAUGUGUUUUGCAUGGUUUAACGCAUCUCUAUGCCUCGAUCUGCGCGUGCUUCGGUAAUAUAAUAUCGCAAAUUUUCGGGAAUUUACGAAUUAGCACCUAUCGACCUCUUAACAAAACUUCGCAAUUACCAGAGAUCCGUCGCGUCGGAUUUCGAUCGAACUGAGUCAUCACGUUCGAGUACAACCCGGGGGGCAUGAGACUUACAAUUUGAUUGUGCCAUCGAAUUUGGCUCACGGCAUUCGCGACGGAACCCAUUCCGCUUCUAAUUAAUCUAUAAUAUCGCAGUUUAUACAUGUGUAAACCCAUUUAACAACUUUCGUGUUAGAAAUUGACUUCCCUACCACUGAGUAGGGACCCGAAACAUUCAUCACCUACUUCCAGGUCACAAGACGCGAGCACGAGAAGCUUUAAGAAUGACAGAAAAGCAAAGAGCGAAAACCCUCUUUUCGGUUUAAAAACUCCUUUUUCUCGAAAAACCGUACAUCAGAUUUGAAAUCCGUCCAGCUGCCAUUGGUUCCAGGAAUACUGAACCGAUCGAGGAGAGCUAUGGAUCACUGAUGAACGGGAUCCGAUACAUGCGACAGCCAACUUACUCGUAACUUCUCUGAAAAAUCGGGUUAUAUUUCGACUUUAAAGUGAAAACUAAUAAUCCGCGUAACUUCUCCGUUCUAGCUCCAUUUUCUCCUGAAACUUGACGAGUGCUUAUGUAAUUUAAAUUACACACAUAAACAGUCAAUCACAGAAGUAGUUUAGUUGCAUUGUAAAAUCUCCAGUCCUUACACAAUCUUUUACAGGACAUGCUUAACAAGCACUUUUGGAAUAUUUUGAUUUUAUUAAAUACUAGUUUGGGAUCGCUUUCUUUUUUUUUCGUUUCGCGUUUCCUGGAUUGAUUUGGACAUUUAAGGGGAAAAUUAAUUUUUUUGUGCGUCUAAUUAAUAUUGUUGUUGGUGAAAUAAAGUAACCCAGUUUAAUUUUUUUGUUGUGUAUUGAUAAUUUUUUAUUUAAUUUUUUAUCUUUUAAUUUUUGUUUGUUUUUUAAUUUAUUUUUCUUUCUUCGAUUUUUCUUGAUCUUGAUGCCCUAAAAUUUAAUUAUACUAUGUUAAUGUAAAAAGAACAACAGAUUAUCUAUUUAGGAGUUCAUUGGGCUGUUCAUUGAAGUCCCCAGUUUACAAUUUUAAUAAUAAAUAGGCAAUUGGGAUUACAAAAAGAACAAAUGGCGAGUUGACUUAGAUGCAAGAUUAUCCAACUUAGUUUUAACUAUGUUUUGCACUAAAUUUAUUCAUUUUUGUAAAUGUAUGUGUAUGCAUAUUUUGUUAUUGUUUAUUAACUUCGCUUAUAUUUGUUGGGUUUGCCUCUAUAUUUAUUAAUAGGUGUUGUUAACUUAAUGCUUAUUUACACUUGUCAUAAUUUGAGUAUAGAUCAAGAUGGAUCCAACUUCCCUUGAAUUUGUUAUGAUGUUAGGUAGCAUUAUUGCCCACAUUUGCAAUGCCAAAGGCUUCUUCGGGUUGUAAAAUUACUUCAAAUUUAUAUAAUUUUAGAAACACAUAAUAAGCACCAUGGGGAGACCAAGCCAAUCGAAAGCAUUUUAUAAGGAUAUGUGCACAUUAUAGAAAGGAAUAAUUUAUGAUAGUGAUCUUGCAUGUUAUGAAGAAUGCACGUAUGGGCAUACGUAAGAAUUAUCCUCCCUUUGUGAUUACUUUCAACAAGAGGGAGAUUGAAAGCGAAUUUGAGAGAUGCCUGUGAGGAGAUGGUGUCCACCGUUUGCUAUGUUCUUACAUCUUAUUGCUUGUGUUAAAAUAGGAGUAUUAAAGGCCAAUUAUGUUAGCAGUCAGAGAGAAACAAAAGUAGACAAUUUAGGUAUGUCUUACCGGCCAUCUCAUGUCACAACAUUUUUGUUUAACGAAACCCAAACCUGCCCAUGAAAAACUCAUGUGAAUGAGCAGGUGUGAAUGUCAAGUAGGGCAAACUUUUAUCCUGGGUCACUUUUUCCUUGCUUAUGCAAGUAAAUCCAAGUGCCCCAAGAAUUGUCACCAAGUGAAACUAACAAAUGUAUCGAAAACCAUUAGAAGAAUCAAAUAGGUGCAGGAUUCCAAUACACUUGGAUGUAUUAAACUCAGAAGUUCAUAAAAAC
rnacentral:lncRNA from 1 species